GCUGCUGUAGCUCAAUUGGAAGAGCGCCGAUUGGAGAAUAUCAUAUCCUCCCAAGUCUCGGCCCGGUGGUUGAGGGUUCGAAUCCCUCUGGUAGCG